rnacentral:rRNA from 1 species
UACGUAGGUGGCGAGCGUUAUCCGGAAUUACUGGGCGUAAAGCGCACGCAGGCGGCCGCUUAAGUCUGACGUGAAAGCUCCUGGCUUAACUGGGAGAGGUCGUUGGAGACUGGGUGGCUUGAGGCGAUGAGGGGGGUGUGGAAUUCCCGGUGUAGUGGUGGAAUGCGUAGAUAUCGGGAGGAACACCAGUGGCGAAGGCGGCACCCUGGCAUCGGCCUGACGCUGAUGUGCGAAAGCGUGGGGAGAGAACGGG